ensembl:lncRNA
GCCUUGACCUACUCCUUUCCCAAUUUGGAACCAGUCUGUUGUUCCAUAUCCAGUUCUAACUGUUGCUUCUUGACCUGCAUGCAGAUUUCUCAGGAGGCAAGUCAGGUGGUCUGGUAUUCCCAUCUCUUUCAGAAUUGUCCACAGUUUGUUGUGAUCCACACAGUCAAAGGCUUUGGCGUAGUCAAUAAAGCAGAAAUAGAUGUUUUUUCUGGUAUUCUCUUGCUUUUUCGAUGAUCCAAUGGAUGUUGGCAGUUUGAUUUCUGGUUCCUCUGGCCUUUCUAAAUCCAGCUUGAACAUCUUGAAGUUCACAGUUCAUUUUCUGUUGAAGCCUGGUUUAGAGAAUUUUCAGCAUUACUUUGCUAGCAUGUGAGAUGAGUGCAAUUGUGUGGUAGUUUGAGCACUCCUUGGCAUUGCCUUUCUUUGGGAUUGGAAUGAAAACUGACCUUUUCCAGUCCUGUGGGCACUGCUGAGUUUUCCAAAUUUGCUGGCAUAUUGAGUGCAGCACUUUAACAACAUCAUCUUUUAGGCUUUGAAAGAGCUCAGCUGUAAUUCCAUCACCUCCACUAACUUUGUUGAUAGAAAUGCUUCUUAAGGUCCACUUGACUUCACACUCCAGAAUGUCUGGCUCUAGGUGAGUGAUCACACCAUCAUGGUUAUCUGGGUCAUUAAGAUCUUUUUUGUAUAGUUCUUCUGUAUAUUCUUGCCAUUUCUUCUUAAUAUAUUCUGCUUCUGUUAGGUCCAUACCAUUUCUGCCCUUUAUUGAGCCCAUCUUUGCAUGAAAUAUUCCCUUGGUAUUUCUGAUUUUCUUGAAGAGAUUUAUAGUCUUUCCCAUUCUAUUGUUUUUAUCUAUUUCUCUGCAUCCCUGUCCAUUAUCAGACCCAAAAAUGGCUUCUGAAAAUAUAUGUUAAUUGUGUCUUAUAGGUUGUGUAUCUGUAGACUGUAAAUAUGGACUUUCAAAAAUGUUGUUGCUUUACCAGUAGCCAAAACUAGCAAAAUUAGGAGUAAUAUUAUUAUUGUCCAUUCGUUAAAUGUAAACUAAAAUUAGAUACCAUUUUUCAUCUAUAAAAUAAACUGAUUUUCAAAAAGACAAUUUUCAGUGCUAAUAGAGCUGAAGUUAAGAAGUUCUUAACUUCCCUGGUGGCUCAGAGGCAGAUUCUUUACCAGCUGAGCCACAAGGGAGGCUCUUUAAAGCCUUGUGCAAGUGCCAAAUACAGGUUGGACCCAAACAACCGUGGAAUAUAGCAAUCUGUGUCUGAGGGGAACCCAUAAGCACUUCCACUCAGAAAAGAAGACCGCACACCAUCUCUGAUCCAUGACAUUCAUGGAACAUUCCAUUUAUGGAAUCCUAUUAAUGGGGUAGGUUCCUGGAUCAGGCUGUGAUUCCGAUUCCUGAUAGGAGUAUCCUUGUUUAUUUUUCUCAACGGCCUCUAACUCUACUCCCUGAAAGAUUCUUCCCUUUCAAUCUUCUUGUUCAUAUUUGAAGUGGGCUUUGGGGGUUAGACACCCCCUUUGGAGAUGCACAGCUUUUAGAGCUCAUUUUCUGUUAGAACAAACUUGGGUUCCCAUAGACAGUGGCUUCUUAGUUCAAGUAGUCAAAAGCCUUUUAGUCCACGUUCAUGGUUUCUUGGAUAAUAUAGCUCUAUUAAAAUAGUAGUCAAUUCCAUGUAUAAUAAUGACAGGUUUAGAGCAAGAUUUGUUUCGUUGGCCUGUAUCUCUCUACCUACCAGAUGGCAGCUACCUUGCAUCUAUGGUUGGGCAUAAGUUAAUACCCACAGUCUAAUCUUUGCCAUAGGCUGUCCUGGUGGCCUUUUGUUGCAUACAACCGUUCUAGGUCUUAUUUCUUGUUUUUGGUCUAAAAGUAGUUGGCCUUUCCAACCCUUUCAUGCCCCCAAAUUUCUGGGCUCUCCUUGAGACACUCUCUAUACCCUGUUCCUUGCAAACUGGGUGAUGAUAUCCCAAGCUCAUUUUUUCCUUCUGCCUGGUCAAAGGCAGCCAGUAACAUCAGGCAUGCAUCAUUAUUAGUUUUCCCAUCUCUUUUCCUUCACCCACAGCUUUGGAAAGCACUUAAUCUGCUGUGUAUAAUAGGGGUCCCCAGACGUGGUGUCCCUCCCUCCCACUGUUACUGCUGCUGCUAAGUUGCU